GACGAACGCUGGCGGCGUGCUUAACACAUGCAAGUCGAACGGAAAGGCCCUGCUUUUGUGGGGUGCUCGAGUGGCGAAAGGGUGAGUAACAAGUGAGUAACCUGCCCUUGACUUUGGGAUAACUUCAGGAAACUUGGGCUAAUACCGGAUAGGAGCUCCUGCUGCAUUGUGGGGGGUGGAAAGUUUCGGCGGGUGGGGAUGGACUCGCGGCUUAUCAGCUUGUUGGUGGGGUAGUGGCUUACCAAGGCUUUGACGGGUAGCCGGCCUGAGAGGGUGACCGGCCACAUUGGGACUGAGAUACGGCCCAGACUCCUACGGGAGGCAGCAGUGGGGAAUAUUGCACAAUGGGCGGAAGCCUGAUGCAGCAACGCCGCGUGCGGGAUGACGGCCUUCGGGUUGUAAACCGCUUUCGCCUGUGACGAAGCGUGAGUGACGGUAAUGGGUAAAGAAGCACCGGCUAACUACGUG
rnacentral:rRNA from 1 species